rnacentral:rRNA from 1 species
UACGAAGGGGCUAGCGUUGCUCGGAAUCAUGCUAGGGCGUAAAGCGCACGUAGGCGGAUCUUUGAAGUCAGGGGUGAAAUCCUGAAGCCUCAACGUCCAGAACUCGCCCUUGAUACUGGGGAUCUUGGAAGUCCGGAAGAGGUGAGUGGAAGCUCCGAGUGUAGAGGUGGAAAUUCGUAGAUAUUCGGAAGAACACCAGUGGCGAAGGCGGCUCGACUGG